UACGGAGGGUGCGAGCGUUGUCCGGAAUCAUUGGGCGUAAAGGGCGCGUAGGUGGCCCGGUGAGUCUUUGGUGAAAGCGCGGGGCUCAACCCUGCGUCGGCCAGGGAUACUGCCGCGGCUCGAGCACUGUAGAGGCAGGCGGAAUUCCGGGUGUAGCGGUGGAAUGCGUAGAGAUCCGGAGGAAGACCGGUGGCGAAGGCGGCCUGCUGGGCAGUUACUGACACUGAGGCGCGACAGCGUGGGGAGCAAACAGG
rnacentral:rRNA from 1 species